rnacentral:lncRNA from 1 species
CAGGAGUGAGAAGGAAUUCAGGGAGAGCAAAGGAGCCAGUGCUGAGAUGCUGCUGUGUUGGUUGAGGAAAACCUCGGGCCUGAGGGCCAGGCCGGAGCCCAGGUCUCUGCUGACAAUGGGGGUUCAAGGAAGACGUCGUUAUCUCCCCUCCCCACUUACUCGAGGAGAGAGAGCCCCCUUGCUGGGACAGCCAGCUCACCUCCAAGGACAUCCCCUCCUGGCUUCUCCCCCUUCCGAGUCUGCAGCGCCGUGGGCUUCUCUGCCGAUGGGCCCGGGUUGGGGUUAAGGUGGGCAUCCUCCAGGUACAACGAGCCUGAAGAGCCCCUUUCAGUGCAGACGGGGCUGCAGAGUGACACUGGCUGGGCACCUGCCCCACGACCAAUGACAAGGAUUUCCAGCUGAAUGCUUUAUUCCCAUAGGGAUCUGGACCUGUGCCCAAGAUAUAAAUACUACACUUUUUUUUUUUUUUUUUAACUGACAUUGUGAAAUUCUCCCUAUAGCUUUUGCCAUUCAAGCAACAUUGUGAUCUUUCUUCCCCGCCACGUGUGUGGGAAUGAUUGAGUCCUGUUUGCAAGCUGGAGAGGAGCUCUCCCUUUGCUAGUACUUUCUCUAAAGUACUAGUCUAGUAAAAUUUAUUCUUGUUAGAAGGUCAACAAAA